ACUCUCGCGGGACAAUGGGUGUCACGGCAGCCAGCGACCGUUUGUCAUUCACAGCUGCCUGAAAGGAGGACCGCAGUAUUCCCACGCAGGAAGCUUGGACCAAAAGCAGGAAUGCUUAAGGGCGCAUAUGACUUGCCAUGGUAAAAAACAGGAUGCCAACCCAGGCCUGAUGACAUCCACCUCACUAAAAGCUAAGGACUAGGACUUUCUGCUUUAAACAAGGACCCACAUGUGGGUGUUUUCUGUGGGAGAGGGAGAGAGGACAUUCGAAGGGCAGAAGUCUGACCUUUGCAAGCACACGUGAACCACACCAAUGAGAAAUGAAUGGACGAGCCAGAUGCCAAUUUAUAAAUUUCCUACUGCACACCUUGAAUGUGAAAGUACAUGUGGCCGACAAAGAGAAGGGAAGAUGGAGCCGCCAUCUUCAACAGGAGUGGCACAACUGUCGGAUCUAUGUCUGCAGCUGGAUUUUACAGGCUGCUCUUCGUUAGAAAGGAAAACUUUACGGAGGACUUCCAUGCCUUCACUAUCUGCCUAAGUAAAUUCUUCUUAACUCCUGUA
rnacentral:lncRNA from 1 species